AAGUCGUAACAAGGUUUCCGUAGGUGAACCUGCGGAAGGAUCAUUACUGAGUUUCUUGAUUUUAAUCAGUGACCGUAAAACAGUCGCUAAUUGAAAGAACUCCCACCCUUUGUUUACCAAAAUGUCAAUCUUUGGCGAUUCCGUUUUUUAAUGGUUAAACACCAUUGAAUCCAUUGAUGAGCGAUAAGCUUGUGAGUGAGUGUUCGCCAAAGUCUUUUCAAAAACUCAUUUUACAAUAUUCUGUACAGUCUGAGAAACAAAUCAAUAUAAACAAAACUUUCAACAACGGAUCUCUUGGUUCUG
rnacentral:misc_RNA from 1 species